CUGGUGAGGGAGUGGGGCUGGUGUUGGGGAGGCUGCGGGCAUGGUCCAGGCUGUGGCCAGGGUUAGGGUGGAUGGAGACAAGUGGCUCUGCAGGGGGGUCAUAGGUCAGGGGUCAAAGCCCAAAAGUCAUUGGUCAAAUGCCAGAGGUGAAAGGUCAAAGGUCAGUGUGAAGUGUCACAGGUAAAAAAGCCAGCAGUCAUGGUGAAGGGUCAAGGAUCAAAGGUCAGGGGUCAAAGGUCAAGUGUCAGAGGCAAGUGCUGGCAGCUGAGACUGUAGCCCUUCACAACCUAUGCCGCCACUCACCUUCCCUAGUCAUCUAAGCCAUUAUGUCUAGAGGGACUCUAUGAGGCUGGGGGUCCUAUAAAGGAUCCAAGGGGGGGUCUAUGGGAUGUCCAGGGGUUGCUCUGGGUCACUAUGAGGAACCUAAAAAAAGAGAAUGUUACUAAAAGUGACUAAAUCAAAUCGGAAGAAAACUGAAUGAAAAGUCAAUAAAAUGUCAGUAAAGUGAUUAAAAAGCAAAUAAAAAUGAAUAAAAGUGAAUAAACCUGAAUGAAACUCAAUGAAAAGUGAAUAAAAAUGAAAGCGAAUAAAAGAGUCAAACCCCAACUUAUGCUGGGGGGGGGUAGUGGGGACCCUAUGGAGCUCGUUGUGUUGGGUGGGCUACCUGUCCCCCGGGGAGUACCUGCUGCUGGGCAUGGAGCCCCGGGAAUACCAGGAAUGCCACCGGGAUCAGCACCAGGAGCUGCUGCCCCAGGUGCUGCUGCACCCCUUGGACCCUCUGGCACCGUUGGGCGGCAGCUCCUGGGGCUGCACCCCAGGGAGCUACUGGCCAGCACCCACCGAGGGAUCUUCCUGCAUCUCCGGGAUGGAUCCGGGAUGAUGCGAAUGAUGACAGGAAUGCUGGAGGUUCACUGCUGAGCUGCACGUACCAAGGGGCUGCCGCUGUGGCGCGGGGAGCUGAUGCACGUCUUCGAUGCGCAGAGGUUUCGAGGUGCAGCAGCACCGGGCAGGGCUGGCCCCGCGGCCCUGCACCGGGUGACGCUGGUGCUGAGGCAGGAGCUGGGACCACACGAUGGAGCCCACAAGAGCAGCCCGGUCCUGCAGGCACAGAGAGUGUCCAACAUCACCAUCUGGUGUCCACCGCCCACCAUUCUGUAUUAGAGGGAUGGAGUUUAGGAAUACGGGAAUGGAGAACAUGUCCUCAACCAUUAUGCGCUGUCCCCUGCAUCCGCCAUCUUGUCCCCCUCAUCCACCAUUUUGUCUUACCCCCCACCACCGUUCCUCCACACCGCUUCUUCUAUCCCAUACCCCACUAUUCCCCCUUUUUGCAUCAUCUAUCCCCCCUAACAGCCAUUAUCCCCCCCUUCCCCGUCAUCUAUCCCCCCUAGCCGUCAUUAUCCCCCACUUCCCCCUCAUCUAUCCCCUUUAACCGCCAUUAUCCCUCCUUCCCUAUUAUCUAUCCCCUUCAAUCGCCAUUAUCCCCCCUUCCCCACCAUCUCUCCCCUCUUGACUACCAUUAUCCCUUCUUCCCCGUCAUCUAUGCCCUCUAACCGCCAUUAUCCCCCCUUCCCCAUCAUCCGCUUUCCAUUUAAAUCGCUUUCCUCCCCCGUCACCGUCGUCUUCCCGCCCACCAAAGCCGGAACAAACCUUCGCCCAGCAGCUCCUGGACGGCCCCACGCCAAGCUGAGCGCCGCUAAGCUUCAUAGCCACACAUCUGUUGAAGAUAAAGCUGAGCUUCAGCCGCCUGCAAAGUGCCUCCUCAUUUCUCCUUUGCCUCAGAUCCUCCGAGCCAUUCUACUGUGCAUAAGCGACAGUUCCCAUGAGACGGGCGAAUUUCACAAGGCUAAGCAAGUUCUGCAAGGUUUAACAAGUUCUCACAUCAUUGACACUGUUUCUUUUAUAAGAUUCUGCACUUUGUCCCUGUUGUCAGCAGGUUGUGUAUUUUUGGCAAUGCCACAGCUGUUCUCCACAAGUUUUAUGCACGGUUUUGUCACUCUCAAACUCCCAUGUACUUGCUUUGGAUUUGCUUUUAAUUCACUUUUAUGCUGUUUUAUUCAGAUAUAUUUGCUUUUUAGUUCCUUUGAGUGAUCUUCAAUUCAGUUUUAUUCACUUUUCUUGGAGAUUUAUUCAGAUUUCUUCCCUUUUCUUCUUUUUCAUUCACAUUUAAUUCACUUUUGUUCCCUUUUAUUACGGUUUAUUCGCUUUCAUUGGUGUUUCUUCCUUUUUCACCUUUAUGCCUGUUUUAUUUAACUGCCAUCGAGUUUAAUGAAGCCGGAGCGACUGCAUCGGGCCCGGCCCACGGCCUAGGAUCAACCUGAGCCCCCUGUGAAGUGCCCUAUAGACCCACAUCACAUGUCCACCAGCUUUUAUUGACUCCUGGCGUCAUAAUGUCACCAGGACUGCGAUGACAUCAUCAGCAUCAUCAAUGACACAGUGCCCCAUAGGGCCCCCACUACCCCUCUGCAACCCGUAAGU